UUUUUGUCAUUGUUGUCGUUGUUGUCGUCGUUGUUAUUGUUGUCGUUGUUGUCAUUGUUCUCGUCUUUGUCAUUAUUGUCAUCGUUGUCGCCGUUGUUGUCGUUGUGGUUAUUAUUGUUGUUGGUGGUGUUGUUGUUGCUGCUAUUGUUGUUGUUGUUGUUGUUGUUGUUGUUGUUGUUGUUUUAGUUGUUGUUGUUGACGUUGUUGUUGUAGUUGUUGUUGAUGAUGUAGUUGUUGUU
rnacentral:lncRNA from 1 species